UACGUAGGUGGCAAGCGUUAUCCGGAAUUAUUGGGCGUAAGCGCGCGCAGGUGGUUCUUAAGUCUGAUGUGAAAGCCCACGGCUCAACCGUGGAGGGUCAUUGGAAACUGGGAGACUUGAGUGCAGAAGAGGAAAGUGGAAUUCCAUGUGUAGCGGUGAAAUUCGUAGAUAUUGGCUGGAACACGGUGGCGAAAGCGGCUCUCUG
rnacentral:rRNA from 1 species